GACGAACGCUGGCGGCGUGCUUAACACAUGCAAGUCGAACGGAAAGGCCCUGCUUUUGUUGGGUGCUCGAUUGGCGAACGGGUGAGUAACACGUGAGUAACCUCCCCUUGACUUUGGGAUAACUUCACGAAACUCGGGCUCAUACCCGAUAGGAGCUCUUGCUGCACGUGGGGGAUUGGAAAGUUUCGGCGGUGGUGGAUGGUCUCGCUGGUUACCCGCUUGUUUGGCGGGUAGUGGCUUUCCAGGGUUUUGACGGGUACCCGGCAUGGGAGGGUGACCGGCCACAUUGGGACUGCGAUACGGACCAGAAUCCUACGGGCGGCAGCAGUGGGGAAUAUUGCACAAUGGGCGGAAGCCAGAGGCAGCAGCGCCGCGUGCGGGAUGACGGCCUUCGGGUUGUAAACAGCUUUCGAAUGUGACGAAGCGUGAGUGACGGUAAUGGGUAAGGAAGCAACGGCUAACUACGUG
rnacentral:rRNA from 1 species